rnacentral:tRNA from 1 species
GCGGAGGUGGUGAAAUGGCAGACACGCAGGUCUCAGAAGCCUGUGCCGCAAGGUAUGAGGGUUCAACUCCCUCCCUCCGCACCA